rnacentral:rRNA from 1 species
GGAUUAGAUACCCUGGUAGUCCACACCGUAAACGCUGUCUACUAGCUGUGUGUGCCUUUAAGGCUGUGCGUAGCGAAGCUAACGCGAUAAGUAGACCGCCUGGGGAGUACGGUCGCAAGAUUAAAACUCAAAUGAAUUGACGGGGGCCCGCACAAGCGGUGGAGCAUGUGGUUUAAUUCGAUGCAACGCGAAGAACCUUACCAUCUCUUGACAUCCACGGAAGCUUGAGGAGACUCGAGUGUGCCUUCGGGAACCGUGAGACAGGUGCUGCAUGGCUGUCGUCAGCUCGUGCCG